GAUAAGAACGUAGCGAAAUGCGAUAAGUAAUGUGAAUUGCAGAAUUCAGUGAAUCAUCGAAUCUUUGAACGCACAUUGCGCCCGCUGGUAUUCCGGCGGGCAUGCCUGUUCGAGCGUCAUUUCAACCCUCAAGCCCCCGGGUUUGGUGUUGGGGAUCGGCUCUGCCCUUCUGGGCGGUGCCGCCCCCGAAAUACAUUGGCGGUCUCGCUGCAGCCUCCAUUGCGUAGUAGCUAACACCUCGCAACUGGAACGCGGCGCGGCCAUGCCGUAAAACCCCAACUUCUGAAUGUUGACCUCGGAUCAGGUAGGAAUACCCGCUGAACUUAAGCAUAUCAAUAAGCGGAGGA
rnacentral:misc_RNA from 1 species